UGUCUAUGCUAUCCCACCCUAAAAGUACCUGAUCUCGUCUGAUCUCAGAAGUGAAGUAGGGUUGGGCCUGGUUACUACUUAGAUGGGAGAGAUCUUGAUGGCAUUGUCAC
rnacentral:rRNA from 1 species